GGCCUUAUUAUAUUGAAACUCCAGUUCACAUACAAUCACUGAAGUUAAGCAAUAUCAAACCUAAUCAGUACUUAGAUGGGUGACCACUUGGGAAUACCAGGCACUGUAA